GACGAACGCUGGCGGCGUGCUUAACACAUGCAAGUCGAACGGUAAGGCUCCAGCUUGCUGGGGUACACGGGUGGCGAACGGGUGAGUAACACGUGGGUGACCUGCCCUGCACUUCGGGAUAAGCCUGGGAAACUGGGUCUAAUACCGGAUAGGACCAUGGUGUGGAUACUGUGGUGGAAAGUUUUUUCGGUGUGGGAUGGGCCCGCGGCCUAUCAGCUUGUUGGUGGGGUAAUGGCCUACCAAGGCGGCGACGGGUAGCCGGCCUGAGAGGGUGGACGGCCACAUUGGGACUGAGACACGGCCCAGACUCCUACGGGAGGCAGCAGUGGGGAAUAUUGCACAAUGGGCGGAAGCCUGAUGCAGCGACGCCGCGUGGGGGAUGACGGCCUUCGGGUUGUAAACUCCUUUCACCAUCGACGAAGGGUUUCUGACGGUAGAUGGAGAAGAAGCACCGGCUAACUACGUG
rnacentral:rRNA from 1 species